rnacentral:lncRNA from 1 species
GAUAGAGUUUCAAAGUUAUUUUCGCGCAAUCACAAUUUAGCUACGGUCCCAGUUUUGUAGCCCUAAUACUACAUUAUCAAUAGCACUAUCUCUAAGGCUCAGUACUAUCUAUAGUAUUAUUUCCAGUCCAGUUCCAUAUAAAUAUUUAAAGCAGAAAAAGAACACUUACAGGCUUGGUGCCGGGGAUUCAGUGUGCCACUUCCUU